rnacentral:lncRNA from 1 species
UACAAUCCUAUUAUAUAUAAAAUCAGGUUUGAUAUUUUUUUCUAAUGAAAUGAUUUUGCCAGUAAUCAAAAACUUUAAAUUAGAAAAUGAAGAUCUGAGCAUCUUUAUUGGCAUAAUAAAACUUAACUCUCAUUGAAUUGAAGUGACUAUAACGAAGUAAGUAACACCACUGAAUAGUCCCUGACACAUGAAAGGUACACAAGUACUUUCUUAUUGCAAAUGUUUCUCUGCUUUAAAACUUUGGCUUUUUAAUUGUUGCUUUUAAAAACAGGGUUUACCUUAGUUUUAUUUUUUCAGAGUACCUUCAAGUUUAAAUCUAAGAGUGAUAUUCAUUUGGCAGAACAUCAUAAACAGGUUUUAUAUGAUGGGAAACUUGCAAGUAGCAUUGCCUUUACAUAUAAUUGCUAGGGCCACUGAUACUCAACUCUGCCUGGAAUCAUCACCAAAAGAGGAUGCAUCAAUUUUUGUGCAUUCCCAACAUGCUCUAAUGCUUCCGAUUCAAGUGCUUUUUCCACUGUUUCCCCAGUUGGAUAAUUGGCAGCUCAAUGACAGUCAAGUGGAAACAACUGUCUGGUAAGUUUUCUUUACAUGUACAAUUGCUGGUAUUUUAUACACACUUAGACUAUACAUGAUGUACUCAGUGCUGUGUAAAUGUAUUACAGUAUUUGGGUUCUGCCCUUAAAGUGCUAAUACAUUUUUUAGAACUAAUGCAGAUAGAUAUUUAUACAAUAAAUAAAGAAAACCCUGACAUUUAGGUUGUUAUACUAUAAAGGAAUGCCUUUUGUGACAAUAAAUAGAAAAUCCUUAACAAAGAUAGCAUAGUGAUUAUAAUAUACUAUGUUGAGGUAAAAUAUGAAUCCUGACCUUAUCAUUUGCAUAUACUCAUGGUUCGAAUUGUCCAUGAAACCCUGUCAGGUUGAAGAAAAUUACUAGGGUAAAAUUAUUCAGAAGAA